AUGCACAAGGCAUAUGAUAGGGUGGAAUGGUGCUUCCUGAAGAGAAUGAUGGAGAGGUUCGGUUUUGAUAACAGAUGGGUCUCGUUGAUAAUGGCUUGUGUGUCAUCAGUUUCAUAUAAUGUCUGCUUCAACGGGACAAAUAAGGACGUGUUCCACCCAUCGAGAGGGCUAAGGCAGGGAGACCCCUUGUCUCCUUAUUUAUUUUUGUUGUGUGUUGAGGCCUUGUCAAGUUUGUUGCAAAGGGAAGAGAACAAUGGGAAUAUAGUAGGUGUGAGAGUCUGUAGAGAUGCACCACAAAUCUCACAUUUACUUUUUGCGGACGACUCCCUAAUCCUGAUGAGAGCCGAUGGGGCUAAUGCUGAAUGUCUACGAGAUAUUUUGGAUGCUUAUUGUGAGAGCUCGGGGCAGUUGGUAAGUGAUGCCAAGUCCAGCAUCCAUUUUAGCCUGAAUUUGGCAGUGGAAGAAAAAGUAGCAAUAUGUCAGAAUCUGCGUAUAUUCACGGAAGCUUUGAAUGAUAGAUACUUGGGUCUACCGGCGAUGGUGGGGGCGGACAGGAGUGAAGCUUUUGAAUACCUCAUUGAUCGGAUCAAUCAUGUGGUGAGCGGAUGGAAAGAUAAGCCGUUAUCUAUAGGAGGGGAAGAUGUUCUCAUUAAGGCUGUUGCUCAAGCCAUGCCAGUUUUUGCGAUGUCGGUGUUUAAUAUCCCGAAAAAAGUUUGCAAAGGGAUGACAGAUGCCAUAUCAAGAUAA
rnacentral:rRNA from 1 species